rfam:Cardinium endosymbiont cEper1 of Encarsia pergandiella complete genome
AAAACAAGCUGGCUUGUCGCUUUGGUAAUUAAAUACCAAAGAGGAAAGUCCGGGCAAUACAGAGCACCCUACUUCCUAACAGGAAGGCAUAUGGAAGCAAAUCUAUGUGACAGAAAGUGCCACAGAAAACAGACCGCUAGCGUUAAUAGAGCGAGUAAGGGUGAAAAGGUGAGGUAAGGGCUCACCGCUCUAUUGGUGACAGUAGAGGCAGGGUAAACCUUAGGGAUUGCAAGGCCAAAUAAACAUGUCCACACUAUAGCGUGACGGGCUGCUCGUUCGUUUCUAAGGCAUGCGGGUAGGCCGCUAGAAGCCAUAAGUGAUUAUGGCUCCAGAUAAAUGACAAGCAGUGCCCUCUAAGGCAUUACAGAACCCGGCUUAUAGGCUUGUUUUUCUU